rnacentral:rRNA from 1 species
GAUGAACGCUGGCGGCGUGCCUAAUACAUGCAAGUCGAGCGAACAGACGAGGAGCUUGCUCCUCUGACGUUAGCGGCGGACGGGUGGGUAACACGUGGAUAACCUACCUAUAAGACUGGGAUAACUUCGGGAAACCGGAGCUAAUACCGGAUAAUAUAUUGAACCGCAUGGUUCAAUAGUGAAAGACGGUUUUGCUGUCACUUAUAGAUGGAUCCGCGCCGCAUUAGCUAGUUGGUAAGGUAACGGCUUACCAAGGCGACGAUGCGUAGCCGACCUGAGAGGGAUGACGGCCACACUGGGAACGGAGACCGCCCCCGGCCGCCAGGGGGAGGGAGCGGGGGGGAUUCGCCGAGAAGGGGCAAAGCCCGGAGGGACGACCGCGGGGGGGGUGAGGAGGGUCUCGGUAUCAAAAACCUUUUAAUGGAGGAAAAAAAAAAAUGAAAAUAAAUGCGCCCUGUUGGGAGGAUCCCAAAUAAAAGAGCCCCGACAACCUCCGCG